UACGGGGGGAGCAAGCGUUGUUCGGAUUUACUGGGCGUAAAGGGCGCGUAGGCGGCGUGACAAGUCACUUGUGAAAUCUCCGGGCUUAACUCGGAACGGUCAAGUGAUACUGUCGUGCUAGAGUACAGAAGGGGCAACUGGAAUUCUCGGUGUAGCGGUGAAAUGCGUAGAUAUCGAGAGGAACACCUGCGGCGAAGGCGGGUCUCUGGACAGUUCCUGACGCUGAGGCACGAAGGCCAGGGGAGCAAACGGG
rnacentral:rRNA from 1 species